AGGGGGGGCAAGCGUUGUUCGGAAUUACUGGGCGUAAAGGGCUCGUAGGCGGCCAACUAAGUCACACGUGAAAUCCCCAGGCUUAACCUGGGAACUGCGUGUGAUACUGGAUGGCUUGAAUUCGGGAGAGGGAUGCAGAAUUCCAGGUGUAGCGGUGAAAUGCGUAGAUAUCUGGAGGAAUACCGGUGGCGAAGACGGCAUCCUGGACCGACAUUGACGCUGAGGAGCGAAAGCUAGGGGAGCAAACGGGAUUAGAUACCCCGGUAGUCCUAGCCCUAAACGAUGAAUGCUUGGUGUGGCGGGUAUCGAUCCCUGCCGUGCCGAAGCUAACGCAUUAAGCAUUCCGCCUGGGGAGUACGGUCGCAAGGCUG
rnacentral:rRNA from 1 species